CUCAAUUUCUCUUGGUGGCAUGAAACAAGCUAUGCCCGUAAUCCAUCCCUAAUGGUGGAACCAGGAAUCUCACUUGGAAUGAGCUAAAAACAAAAAUUUUAGAUAUUGGUGGACUAAAUCACUGGAAUAAAAAAAAAUAAAAAAAAAAAGUGGUGUUUGUCUCCGGUCAAUCAGUGGACAGGAUUUACUGAAAAUUAUCAUCCGGGUUAUUGGGGAGUUACACUCCAAUAGAAGUAUUGUAGUGCUUCGAAGAGGUAUGGAUCUCGGAAUCCAUUGCAGCAAAAACCCUGAUUUACCAAUUUCCAGGGUUCUAAUAAUAUCCGUAAGAUUGUUGAAAUUAAGGAUAUUAGGGGAGAGUUAUGGUUUUCUGGGUUUAUCAAUUUCUAGGGUUUUUAACUCAAACUUCUCCGCCACUGACAGUUCUUAUAAGAAUCUCUGCAAAUCUUAGGACGAUGCUAUUGUGUAAUAAGAGAUGAAAUUGAAUUAGAUUUACUUAUAAGAUUAACAUUGAUUUCCGAUUAAUAUUGAUUUUCUUUCUGCUUUUCAUAUUUCAUUUCAUAUUGAUUUCCAAUUAAUAUUGAUUUCAAGAGUAUUUUCUCCCUUAUUAGUUUUCUGCUGUUAUUGCUAAUAUUGCUGUUAUUGCUCCUAAUAAUUUUGAUGAUGAUGAGUUGUGUUCUUUACAGAAUUGUGAAAGCUUGAUGCAAGGUCUUUAUAGACUCGCAGGGGUUCUACGGAGAACACACUCUUUGGCUGGCAAACCGGCUUGGAUGUUCUACAGUACUUGGUCUCAAGGCGGUGGUCUGGAAAGAACUUUGUUGUAUGCGUAAGGUUGCUGCUGGCUUUUACACCAAUUGAUAAAUCCUAUCAAGACUACCCAGUUAGCAUGAAAGAACUUCACCGGAAUCACGAAGCUCUAAUGCAAGCAUGGAAGAUCAGCCAAAAACACCCAUUACAGAGGGUAGUUUAUGCAUUUCCCUCCCUCAUUCUUCAUACCCUAUGGCUUAUGCAGAAUUGCUCGAGGAAGAUGAUCCAAAUAUACCAGCAUGGUUCUUCUUCAGUUCUAAGGAUGUUGUGAAUGUGGGAUCACCUGCACCACUCCUCUAUUUAUUCAUGGACUGCUUAUAUGCUCAUUCAGAAGUUGUCCUCAAGACUUUCUUCUGCACCGACAAAUCAAGGUCUUCAGAGGAUAAUAUGAGAACAUAGUUCAUGUUCUCGAUGACGAUAGAUUAAUUAUGAGAAAAGUGGCGUACAGAAUUGAUUAUGCAGACUCGGGUUUCAGGGUUCAGGGUUCAUUAGCGAAAGAGGACUAAACUCAAAUCACAGCUCACCCACUUAAACUGCUAAUUCAAUAGACAGACAUGACGCUUUUGCUUGAGCUGGAAACCCAAAUGGAAAGAAAAGGCUUGAAAUCAAGCUUUCCCAUUUUCUGCAAUUUGGUCAUACAUUAAUUCACAAUGUCUUUAGGAGUUCAUAGAAUUUGGUUGGUAUAGAUGGAGAUAUUGUUUGAUUAAGGUAACCUAAAUUGUAAGAGUUGUAUGGUUUUUUAUGUUGUACACAUUAUCAAUUACUCAGGUAUAUGUUGAUUAGUGUCCACUAUCAGUAUUCUGAUUGAUAGCUCUGUAAUUCAUGUUAAUUAGUAGCAAGGUAAUGAUCACCAAUUAGUAUGAUGCUGCAAGAGGAAUCGACAAUGAUUCGGGUUUAAAUGUCAUGUCUAUAGAGGUCGAGCUAUUUGUUACUAGACAGUUUCUAUGAAAUCUGUAAGUUCCACUUAUUGAUGCAAAUACAAUUAGUAUUGUAUGGUUAAACUUUUCUCAACUUCUGAAAACAAAAAGCUCUUCUCCUUUAGCAUUUGGCCUAUGCCUAAAGUAUUAUGUUACCUUUUGGUAUAUCAAUGUAACUGUUCAUGUUAAUUACCUUCAAACACUAAGCAAAGCACUACGUGCUGGAGUGAUACCGGUUAGUGCGGUUCUUGCAGACACGAAUGUAACAUUAUGUAUUAAGCCAGGUGUUUGUAUAUGUCAAUGAUGAAGCUGGUGAGAGAUCAUUGCAUCAAGAGGCAGAAUCACAAUAUCUAUCUUGCGCCAGUGACAGUUUUGUCACAGAGAUCCACAGAAAACUCUGAUGUCGAUACUCAGCAUUCUUCAGAUUACAAAAGUUAGAGGAAGUGAAUAUUGAUAUUGGGGAUGGAAUAACCACAACAAACCAAAUUAAAGGGAAUUACUGUAAUAGGAAGCUCCGACACUUGCAACUCUCAUUGAGAAGAUUUGCAGAGUAAAAUAGGGAAGAUCAAGUUGAAUCUAGAGCUUUAACAAGGAGGAAAAAACAUGGUAUUUGUUCAUUAUCAAUGAGAUGUUUUAGAAAGGAAGAGCAGAAAACUCAGUUCACAUGGGUUCAAAUGAAUUCGGGAGACACCUUAACACCACCACCCUGACUAUUCCUAUUCCUGAUUUUGCAAGAUGCUCUACGAAUCCUAUUCCUGAUUCCUGGAGCCAUACAGUACCGAGUCCGUACACAUCUGCAUAAACCAUGCACGGUCAAUGCCUCAAUAUGGCGAGCUACAACCGUCCGCAUACAGCCACAUGUGUACAUCUGUAUACAACCAUCUAUACGCAGAUAGCAAUAGCAAAUUGAUACAAUUUAUCGAUCCACGUGUGGAAAGUAAAGCUCAGAGGGCGCUGACGUACACAACAAGCAAGGAACAUUCAUACCGCGGGAUGCUCAAGAUAACAACUACUUCGCCAAUUGCAGGAUGCUCGAGAUAACAACUACUUCGCCACCGAACUUAAGCUGCACAUAGGUUGAGUAUGAAUUUAACUUUUUUUGCAGAAUCUUGAAAUGUAGACCUCCUAAGAGUUUCAGAAACUCUCAACCAUUGUCAAGAAGCACCAAUGCACUCACGGUACCAUUAGCUACACAAGCAGAACACAAGCCUUCCCCAGGUGUAUUAUCAAAUUAAUGAAUCACUCAUUUAUUUAUGCAAUUGUGGAGAUCUAGGCACCAUGGAAAAUACAACGCAUACUUUCUGUAGUGAACUACAGAGUGAGAUACUCACCUAAGUAUGGGUAGUUUUCUUAUAAAGUUUGAUUAAGUGGUUAUGGGAUUCAUUGACAUGUUAAUCAGUGUUGUAAGAAAGACAAUCACUUGAAAUCGGGCUUUUGCGAAACUGAAUGUGGUGCACAUUUAUUCUGUUUUUUCAUAAAGUAUGGGUAGUUUUCUUAUAAAGUUUGAUUAAGUGGUUCUGGUCUACAUUGUAAUUGACAUGUUAAUCAACGUUGUAAGAAAGACGAUCAAUUGAUAUCAGGCUACUGCUAAA